GGGUAACCAGGUAUAUUAUUCCUAACAUCAGGCCAGACACUACUCCCACUUGGUUUCCAAUUCAAGAGUCCAAAAUGAAACUCUGGAGAUAAAUGUUGUGAAUUGGGUAUCAGAUUGUACUCCAUGGGAUUAGGAUGAUACGUGGAUUGCAUAACAAAGAACCAGGACAAGAUGAACAGAAGUGAUGCCAUUAUAAAGAAGCAAAACAAUGAGUUUCUAAAACCAACCUUGAUCGAAGAAGGCCC
rnacentral:sRNA from 1 species